rnacentral:rRNA from 1 species
GACGUAGGGCGCGAGCGUUGUCCGGAUUUAUUGGGCGUAAAGAGCUCGUAGGCGGCUUGUUGCGUCGGCUGUGAAAACCCGUGGCUUAACUGCGGGCUUGCAGCUGAUACGGGCGGGCUGGAGUUCGGUAGGGGAGACUGGAAUUCCUGGUGUAGCGGUGAAAUGCGCAGAUAUCAGGAGGAACACCGGUGGCGAAGGCGGGUCUCUGGGCCGAUACUGACGCUGAGGAGCAAAAGCGUGGGGAGCGAACAGG